rnacentral:rRNA from 1 species
CCUACGGGAGGCUGCAGUGGGGAAUAUUGCACAAUGGGGGAAACCCUGAUGCAGCAACGCCGCGUGAGUGAGGAAGUAUUUCGGUAUUUAAAGCUCUAUUAGCAGGGGGUCGAAAAGAAGGUACCUGAACAAGAAGCCCCGGCUAACUACGUGCCAGGAGCCGCGGUAAUACGUAGGGGGCAAGCGUUAUCCGGAUUUACGGGGGGUAAAGGGAGCGUAGACGGACAGGCAAGUCAGAAGUGAAAAGCCAAGGCUCAACCAUGGGACUGCUUUUGAAACUGUCAAACUAGAGUAGGGGAGAGGUAAGAGGAAUGCGUAGUGUAGCGGUGAAAUGCGUAGAUAUUAGGAGGAACACCAGUGGCGAAGGCGUCUUACUGGACCGAAACUGACGUUGAGGCACGAAAGCGUGGGGAGCAAACAGGAUUAGAUACCCCAGUAGUC